rnacentral:rRNA from 1 species
GUUUACGGCCAUACUACCUUCAAAACACCGGUUCUCGUCCGAUCACCGAAGUUAAGCAACGUCGGGUCUGGUUAGUACUUGGAUGGGAGACCGCUUGGGAAUACCGAGUGCUGUAGACA